CAAUAGCGUAUAUUAAAGUUGUUGCAGUUAAAAAGCUCGUAGUUGGAUUUCUGGGAGGGUGCCGCCGUCCGGCGUGUCCGUGUGCAGUGGCGCCCUUCCAUCCUUCUGUUAGCGUCUCUUGGCAUUCAUUUGCUGGUGGCGGGCUCAGAUAUUUUACCUUGAGAAAAUUAGAGUGUUUCAGGCAGGCUAGGCCGGAAUACAUUAGCAUGGAAUAAUGGAAUAGGACUACGGUCUCUUUGUUGGUUUGAGGGACUGCAGUAAUGAUUAAUAGGGAUAGUUGGGGGCAUUAGUAUUUAAUUGUCAGAGGUGGAAUUCUCAGAUUUGUUAAAGACUGACUUAUGCGAAAGCAUUUGCCAAGGAUGUUUNCAUUAA
rnacentral:rRNA from 1 species